AUUUGUGCCAUUGGUGUCUGGCGCAGUCAGUGAAUGAGCCCCACCAGGCCCCCCAACAUGAACAGGAGGCUCUACCUAAUAAUGGCAACCUGUGACUCCAGAUCAUGCUGCUGAGAUGACUAAAGAACAUAUAGAUCUCAGUCUUUCCGUGAUUUGGACGAGGCAGAUAAAUAAGCCUGCUUUUCAGAUUCAUGUGACCCAACAUCUUUGUAGUGAGUUGAGCACUCACAGAGCCCUCAGCUGCAGUGAGAGCUGCCAAUAUUCACACCAAGUGAAAGAGAAGCAGGAGAAUUAUCUCAGACAGAAGAAACAGAUCUCUUGUGCUGACAGAAUAAACACAUUUGGGGUCUGACUUUGCCAACAGCUUUCCUUCUUCUAACAACUACUGGAGUGGAUCUGC
rnacentral:lncRNA from 1 species